rnacentral:rRNA from 1 species
GACGAACGCUGGCGGCGUGCCUAACACAUGCAAGUCGAGCGAAUGAAGUUCCUUCGGGAAUGGAUUUAGCGGCGGACGGGUGAGUAACACGUGGGCAACCUGCCUCAUAGAGGGGAAUAGCCUUCCGAAAGGGAGAUUAAUACCGCAUAAGAUUGUAGUACCGCAUGAUACAGCAAUUAAAGGAGUAAUCCGCUAUGAGAUGGGCCCGCGGCGCAUUAGCUAGUUGGUGAGGUAACGGCUCACCAAGGCGACGAUGCGUAGCCGACCUGAGAGGGGGAACGGCCACAUUGGGACUGGGACACGGCCCAGACUCCUACGGGAGGCAGCAGUGGGGAAUAUUGCACAAUGGGGGAAACCCUGAUGCAGCAACGCCGCGUGAGUGAUGACGGCCUUCGGGUUGUAAAGCUCUGUCUUCAGGGACGAUAAUGACGGUACCUGAGGAGGAAGCCACGGCUAACUACGUGCCAGCCGCCGCCGCUG